AGCGUACACGGUGGAUGCCCUGGCAGUCAGAGGCGAUGAAGGACGUGCUAAUCUGCGAUAAGCGUCGGUAAGGUGAUAUGAACCGUUAUAACCGGCGAUUUCCGAAUGGGGAAACCCAGUGUGUUUCGACACACUAUCAUUAACUGAAUCCAUAGGUUAAUGAGGCGAACCGGGGGAACUGAAACAUCUAAGUACCCCGAGGAAAAGAAAUCAACCGAGAUUCCCCCAGUAGCGGCGAGCGAACGGGGAGCAGCCCAGAGCCUGAAUCAGUGUGUGUGUUAGUGGAAGCGUCUGGAAAGGCGCGCGAUACAGGGUGACAGCCCCGUACACAAAAAUGCACAUGCUGUGAGCUCGAUGAGUAGGGCGGGACACGUGGUAUCCUGUCUGAAUAUGGGGGGACCAUCCUCCAAGGCUAAAUACUCCUGACUGACCGAUAGUGAACCAGUACCGUGAGGGAAAGGCGAAAAGAACCCCGGCGAGGGGAGUGAAAAAGAACCUGAAACCGUGUACGUACAAGCAGUGGGAGCCUCUUUUAUGGGGUGACUGCGUACCUUUUGUAUAAUGGGUCAGCGACUUAUAUUCUGUAGCAAGGUUAACCGAAUAGGGGAGCCGAAGGGAAACCGAGUCUUAACUGGGCGUUAAGUUGCAGGGUAUAGACCCGAAACCCGGUGAUCUAGCCAUGGGCAGGUUGAAGGUUGGGUAACACUAACUGGAGGACCGAACCGACUAAUGUUGAAAAAUUAGCGGAUGACUUGUGGCUGGGGGUGAAAGGCCAAUCAAACCGGGAGAUAGCUGGUUCUCCCCGAAAGCUAUUUAGGUAGCGCCUCGUGAAUUCAUCUCCGGGGGUAGAGCACUGUUUCGGCAAGGGGGUCAUCCCGACUUACCAACCCGAUGCAAACUGCGAAUACCGGAGAAUGUUAUCACGGGAGACACACGGCGGGUGCUAACGUCCGUCGUGAAGAGGGAAACAACCCAGACCGCCAGCUAAGGUCCCAAAGUCAUGGUUAAGUGGGAAACGAUGUGGGAAGGCCCAGACAGCCAGGAUGUUGGCUUAGAAGCAGCCAUCAUUUAAAGAAAGCGUAAUAGCUCACUGGUCGAGUCGGCCUGCGCGGAAGAUGUAACGGGGCUAAACCAUGCACCGAAGCUGCGGCAGCGACGCUUAUGCGUUGUUGGGUAGGGGAGCGUUCUGUAAGCCUGUGAAGGUGUGCUGUGAGGCAUGCUGGAGGUAUCAGAAGUGCGAAUGCUGACAUAAGUAACGAUAAAGCGGGUGAAAAGCCCGCUCGCCGGAAGACCAAGGGUUCCUGUCCAACGUUAAUCGGGGCAGGGUGAGUCGACCCCUAAGGCGAGGCCGAAAGGCGUAGUCGAUGGGAAACAGGUUAAUAUUCCUGUACUUGGUGUUACUGCGAAGGGGGGACGGAGAAGGCUAUGUUGGCCGGGCGACGGUUGUCCCGGUUUAAGCGUGUAGGCUGGUUUUCCAGGCAAAUCCGGAAAAUCAAGGCUGAGGCGUGAUGACGAGGCACUACGGUGCUGAAGCAACAAAUGCCCUGCUUCCAGGAAAAGCCUCUAAGCAUCAGGUAACAUCAAAUCGUACCCCAAACCGACACAGGUGGUCAGGUAGAGAAUACCAAGGCGCUUGAGAGAACUCGGGUGAAGGAACUAGGCAAAAUGGUGCCGUAACUUCGGGAGAAGGCACGCUGAUAUGUAGGUGAAGUCCCUCGCGGAUGGAGCUGAAAUCAGUCGAAGAUACCAGCUGGCUGCAACUGUUUAUUAAAAACACAGCACUGUGCAAACACGAAAGUGGACGUAUACGGUGUGACGCCUGCCCGGUGCCGGAAGGUUAAUUGAUGGGGUCAGCGCAAGCGAAGCUCUUGAUCGAAGCCCCGGUAAACGGCGGCCGUAACUAUAACGGUCCUAAGGUAGCGAAAUUCCUUGUCGGGUAAGUUCCGACCUGCACGAAUGGCGUAAUGAUGGCCAGGCUGUCUCCACCCGAGACUCAGUGAAAUUGAACUCGCUGUGAAGAUGCAGUGUACCCGCGGCAAGACGGAAAGACCCCGUGAACCUUUACUAUAGCUUGACACUGAACAUUGAGCCUUGAUGUGUAGGAUAGGUGGGAGGCUUUGAAGUGUGGACGCCAGUCUGCAUGGAGCCGACCUUGAAAUACCACCCUUUAAUGUUUGAUGUUCUAACGUUGACCCGUGAUCCGGGUUGCGGACAGUGUCUGGUGGGUAGUUUGACUGGGGCGGUCUCCUCCUAAAGAGUAACGGAGGAGCACGAAGGUUGGCUAAUCCUGGUCGGACAUCAGGAGGUUAGUGCAAUGGCAUAAGCCAGCUUGACUGCGAGCGUGACGGCGCGAGCAGGUGCGAAAGCAGGUCAUAGUGAUCCGGUGGUUCUGAAUGGAAGGGCCAUCGCUCAACGGAUAAAAGGUACUCCGGGGAUAACAGGCUGAUACCGCCCAAGAGUUCAUAUCGACGGCGGUGUUUGGCACCUCGAUGUCGGCUCAUCACAUCCUGGGGCUGAAGUAGGUCCCAAGGGUAUGGCUGUUCGCCAUUUAAAGUGGUACGCGAGCUGGGUUUAGAACGUCGUGAGACAGUUCGGUCCCUAUCUGCCGUGGGCGCUGGAGAACUGAGGGGGGCUGCUCCUAGUACGAGAGGACCGGAGUGGACGCAUCACUGGUGUUCGGGUUGUCAUGCCAAUGGCACUGCCCGGUAGCUAAAUGCGGAAGAGAUAAGUGCUGAAAGCAUCUAAGCACGAAACUUGCCCCGAGAUGAGUUCUCCCUGACUCCUUGA
rnacentral:rRNA from 1 species